GGGUGGGGUGACUGCGUACCUUUUGUAUAAUGGGUCAGCGACUUAUAUUCUGUAGCAAGGUUAACCGAAUAGGGGAGCCGGAGGGAAACCGAGUCUUAACCGGGCGUUAAGUUGCAGGGUAUAGACCCGAAACCCGGUGAUCUAGCCAUGGGCAGGUUGAAGGUUGGGUAACACUAACUGGAGGACCGAACCGACUAAUGUUGAAAAAUUAGCGGAUGACCUGUGGCUGGGGGUGAAAGGCCAAUCAAACCGGGAGAUAGCUGGUUCUCCCCGAAAGCUAUUUAGGUAGCGCCUCGUGAAUUCAUCUCCGGGGGUAGAGCACUGUUUCGGCUAGGGGGCCAUCCCGGCUUACCAACCCGAUGCAAACUGCGAAUACCGGAGAAUGUUAUCACGGGAGACACACGGCGGGUGCUAACGUCCGUCGUGAAGAGGGAAACAACCCAGACCGCCAGCUAAGGUCCCAAAGUCAUGGUUAAGUGGGAAACGAUGUGGGAAGGCCCAGACAGCCAGGAUGUUGGCUUAGAAGCAGCCAUCAUUUAAAGAAAGCGUAAUAGCUCACUGGUCGAGUCGGCCUGCGCGGAAGAUGUAACGGGGCUAAACCAU
rnacentral:rRNA from 1 species